AGUGAACGCUGGCGGUAGGCCUAACACAUGCAAGUCGAACGGCAGCACAGUAAGAGCUUGCUCUUACGGGUGGCGAGUGGCGGACGGGUGAGGAAUACAUCGGAAUCUACUUUUUCGUGGGGGAUAACGUAGGGAAACUUACGCUAAUACCGCAUACGACCUACGGGUGAAAGCAGGGGAUCUUCGGACCUUGCGCGAUUGAAUGAGCCGCUGUCGGAUUAGCUAGUUGGCGCGGUAAAGGCCCACCAAGGCGACGAUCCGUAGCUGGUCUGAGAGGAUGAUCAGCCACACGGGAGCUGGGACACGGUCCAGACUCCUACGGGAGGCAGCAGUGGGGAAUAGUGGACAAUGGUCGCGAGCCUGAUCCAGCCAUACCGCGUGGGUGAAGAAGGCCUUCGGGUUGUAAAGCCCUUUUGUUGGUAAAGAAAAGCAGCAGGUUAAUACCCCGCUGUUCUGACGGUACCCAAAGAAUAAGCACCGGCUAACUUCGUG
rnacentral:rRNA from 1 species